CAGUCAUAGCUAAAUUGAUACCGAGAGGUUAAUUGGCUGUUCAUCAUGAGAUCUUAUGAUCCCCAUCGGCAAAUUUGCCUCCCGAGCCUCUCACACCU